AUUGAACGCUGGCGGCAUGCCUUACACAUGCAAGUCGAACGGCAGCACGGGAGCAAUCCUGGUGGCGAGUGGCGAACGGGUGAGUAAUAUAUCGGAACGUGCCCGGUCGUGGGGAUAACGUAGCGAAAGCUACGCUAAUACCGCAUACGAUCUACGGAUGAAAGCGGGGGAUCGCAAGACCUCGCGCGAUUGGAGCGGCCGAUAUCAGAUUAGGUAGUUGGUGAGGUAAAGGCUCACCAAGCCGACGAUCUGUAGCUGGUCUGAGAGGACGACCAGCCACACUGGGACUGAGACACGGCCCAGACUCCUACGGGAGGCAGCAGUGGGAAUUUGGACAAUGGGCGCGAAAGCCUCGAUCCAGCAAUGCCGCGUGCAGGAGUGAAGGACCUCGGUUGUUAACGUAGUACGUUUGUUACGGUAACGGUAAACGGUAACGG
rnacentral:rRNA from 1 species